rnacentral:misc_RNA from 1 species
CGUCAGAUGUUAUCGAUGUUUAUUUUUAUUCAAAUAAAUAAUAAUUUGGAUUCCAUGCAAGUUUUGUUAUCAUAAAAUGGAAAUUUAAAAAUCGACAGUGAUUUUAUUAGUGUAAAAUACAAUAAUGUCUUCGGAAGCCGAAGAAAACCCCGUCCAUAUUGGUCCUGUUGACGUCGACUCUCUUAAGAAAGAAAAUGAAAAGAAUUCCGAACAUUUUUGCGAUUCUGGAGUGGAGUCUGCUGACUCCUGCUCCGCUACACUGCCUACAUCAUCAGACUGUGAGGUAUCGUCCAUAAAGACUGCAGAACAUGACAAACUGUUUGACCUAAAAAAUGAUAGUGAAAAACCAGUUGAAAUUGAUAAUAGACCUAUUUUAUCGAGUCCUGCUUGCUUAACACCGGAUAUAAAUGAUGUCACGGAGAAUUUACUGAGUUUAGAAGAGUUUUCUUUCAACAAAACCGACGGAACGUCGCUUGUACAUGACUAUGUUUGUGAAACCAAAGAAGAAUCAAUUACUGAAGGAAUUCUUGAUGACAACUUUGUUACCGAGUCUGCCAAAAGCACUGACAAUUCCUCGUCUAAUUCCACUGAUGACUUGCAGAGCAAUGAACAUAUUGAAGAAGGAAAUGAGGGACAGAGCACACAUGCCACAGAGCACAGUAUUAAUCAUUCUGAUCUAGAAAACAAAGGUAUUAGGAGCCUUACGACGUCUACGGUGAGCCUAAAUGACCAUAGAGUUACGGAUAACAAGGACACUACUAUAUCUAAGUCACCUUACAGCCGAAGUGCUGAAAACAUAUCAGUAAUAGAUCAAAACAUGACACAAAAUGUAAAUUGUACCAAAGAAUUAAACACAGAAACGAUCCUAGCUCAGUUCUCAAACCAAAAGCCUAAAGUCACAGCAGUACAGAAGAUUACAGUAGAAAUACCAAAAGCAACGGAACCUUCGCAAAACUUAGACGUUAGAUACUCGAGGUUACCAAAAGAACUGCUGUCUCAAGACUUAGGCUCCAUAGUCAAGAAUGUACAUGGGAUAUUUUCAUCAGUUAGUGGCAGCUUAAAGUACGCUUACAAUCAGACGCACAGAGCUCCAAAGCCUCCGAUUAAACCUAUCACAAAACCCAUACUGAAUGGGAAAGUCAUGGAUGAUAUAUUUGAAGAUGAAGCCACUGUAAAACCAAAUGUAACCAAUGGUCUUGAUAAAUCUCCUGUAAAAAUUGAAACAGCUCCACAAGAAAUGAAAAAAGAAGAGAUAAAUACAACUGUAGAUAACAAAAAUGAAAAUGAGAUAGACAAUGACCCGAAGAGAGAUAUAUUAAGACUGCAGAUAGCAUCUUUGGAGAGAGUCCUGGCUGAGCAGAGAAAGGAGAACACCAGUCUCAGAGAGAGAGUGAAACAGCAGGUUGACGAGCUUCAGGAGAAGGAUCAGACUUUCAAGGAGUUGGAGUUGAAGAUAGAUCAGAUGACGAAACGCGUCGAGCAAGCAGAACGCGAGAAAGAUGCGGCUGUGAUGCGUUACGCGAGCGUGGAGUGCGCGGCCAUAGAGGCUAGAAGAGCGGCGGAGAAGGCAGCGGCGGCUGAACGAGCGAACAGCACUGAGGUGGAACUACUCAACAACAAGAUCAAGUCUGCCAGUCAGGAGAAGGCCAGGAUCUGCCAGCUUUAUGACGAUAAGUGUCACGAGCUGUCGAACUGCGAGCGCGAGCUGGCGAAGGUGAGAGAAGACCUGAAGGAGCUCGAAGGUCGGCUCAAGUGGACGCAGAGCAAGCUGCGUAUGGAGAUGGACGCUUACAAGGACAGCGCAGAGCGUGCUGAGAAGCUGUCGCAGCAGGUGAGCGAGCUGGAGGCGGCGAAGGACGCCGCCGCCGCCAACGCUACAGACUCCGCGCGGGCCAGGCAGCUUGAACUGGAACUCAAGGAAAGCCAAGCCGCCCUUAUCCUCUGUCGUCACGAGAAGGAAGACCUGGAGCGUCGGCUGGCCUCCACCACCCAGCAACUGGACUCUUGCAAGCGGGAAAGGGACCUCGCUACCACCGCGCUUGCGCAAGCCACCACUGAGGUGAGUUCCCUGAAGGCCAGCAACCUGCGUCUGGAGGAGGAGGCGGCGGAGCUGGCCGCGCUCCGGGCGCAGGCCGCGCUGGCCGACACGCUCAGCGGUCAGUUACAGAGGGAAACGGAGCGCGCAUCGCAGGCAGAGGAGGCCCUGUCCCGCGAGCGCGCCCGCGCCGAGACCUGCGCGCGCAGGGAGGCGGCCGCGCUCGAGCACGCGGCGCGGCUCACGGCGCAGCACGUGCAGCAGCGGGCCGCCACCAGCGACCACGAGAACAAGGCUCAAGCCCUGUCCCUGGACAACGCCAGCCUCCGGGAGCGGAUAUCCUCGCUUGAAGCAGAAUGCACGCGGCUACAGGAAUCUCUAGCCGAGGAGACAGAGCGACGCAAUCGGGAAACUCGAGCACUUGCUAGGAAGGUGGCAGAGCUGACAGAAGAAGCGGCCGAGACGGGCAAGAAGCUGGAAUGGGAGAAGGGGGAGAAUGGAGUGCUGAAGAAGAAACACGCCAACGCUAUCAAGGAACUAAAUCGCGAGCUACAACGAGCGCUGAAGCGCUGUGAACAGCUGGAGGCGAAACUGCCACCGCCCGACGCCGCCUCCACCAGAACAGGUUCAGUAUCGUCCCUGAGCAGCGGUGAGAGCGCGGCGACAGACGAGCGUCUUCAAAACGGCCACGCACCCGUCGACGCGCUGCCCGACAUACAGGUUCGCGAGCCAGACAGGCAGCAGCUAAUCGAGCGCAUAGUGUCGCUCCAGCGGGCAGCGGCUAGGAGGGCAGAGCGCUGCGAGUUCCUUGAGGAGCAUUCUCGCCAGCUGACGGUGGAGCUGCGAGGCAAGGCGCGCUUGCUGCGGCAGCUGCUGUGCUCCUUGCCGGCGGGGGCCGUCGCCUCGCCGCACAGCGACGCUCAUAAGAAAGAGAUAGCCCGGCUGGGCGGAGGCGCGAUGGCCGCAGUGUGGGGCGGUGACGCGGGUGGCAUGACGCUCGAACUGUCGCUGGAGAUGAACUCGAAGCUACAAGCCGUGUUAGAGGACGCGCUGUUGAAGAACAUCACUCUCAAGGAAAACAUGGACACGUUAGGCGAAGAGAUCGCCAGGCUAAAAGAACAAAUGAAAAUCAACACAGAAAACAAAUCGUAAAUAUAUUAAAACAAUGGUGCUAAUUCCUGCAGACGCCGUCAAAUUUUAUUUUAAGUUAUACCUGUCAUUUUCUUAUCUGCUGUAAAAGAAAGGGACAAGUAAUCGACAGGCAUAAAAUUUAUGGAACACACGUCAAUUUUAAACACAAUUCUAAAACAGCCGUAUAAAAAUUUUACACACGACAACCGGCUUGCAUACCAGCGAGAUACCUUUUUGAUUCGCCCGGGUUAUUCAUUCAUUUACUCGUUCUUUCUAAAAUGAGAGCUGUCAAUCAUCCGUCCCUUUCCUUUUCGGCGGAUAAGAAAAUGACAGGUAUAACUAAAAGUAAAAUUAGAACGUGUCUGCAGGAAUCGGGGCCAUUAUAUUUAAUAAAUAUAAGAGUACUAUCACUAUCAAGUUUAAAAAUAUAUCAAAAAAUAAUAAAGAAUGAAAGCGAAACUAAAUAAAUAAAAUAUUAAAUUAAAUAAAUAAUAAAAUUAAAAUUAAUUAAUGCCAAUGCCAGUGAGAGCAGAAAAAAACAUUCCAAAAAAAAUUCGUUAAUAACCCGCCUAUGUUUAAAUUUUGGUUCGUCAAAUUGUUUUUGCUAAGGUCAAUUUAAUAGAUCACAUUAGACGUUACCUUAACCUCAAAGAUAUAAGGUUUAACACCCGUAUUCUAAAAUGUUAAAUCUUUCUUCACUCGACUUGGCCUCAGCUGAGCAUUUUGGUAUUUGAAGUCGACAUUUACGCCUUCGACUUGAGGACUUUACUCGCUGGAGUCGAUCAUACUGCCAACAUAAUACAUAACAUACAUAACAUAAACAGCCUUAAUACGUCCCACUGCUGGGCACAGGCCUCCCCUCAAUCAACCGGAGGGGGUAUGGAGCAUACUCCACCACGCUGCUCCAAUGCGGUUGUUUUUACGGCUAAUAGCCGGGACCAACGGCUUAACGUGCCCUCCGAAGCACGGAAUCAUCUUACUUUUUCGAACAAUCAGGUGAUUCAAGCCUGAAAAGUCCUUACCAAACAAAGGACAGUCUCACAAAGUGAUUUCGACAAUGUCCCCAUCGGG